AGGACCUCGAAGUUGGUUGGUCAAGACCCAACUUGGCGUUAUUGCACCUCGCUGGUCCGGCGGCCCCCUCGACCGGCUCCUCCGGAGAGCUCCCUCUCCAAUGUGGCCAGGAUUCGAGGGAGGGGCGGUCGGGAGACGAGGUUGGUCGUUGGUCCUCCCACAAGAUCCGCCGGCUCUCGCGGCGAGCUCGGCCAGGAUCACAGGGAGAUCGGCAGGAGGGGCGCUCGUCUUCCGGUUCCUCCAUGGUGUCGCCUGCGUCUUCUACGCCAAGGUCCUCGGGGCCUUGUUCUCCUUCUGGAUGGACAAGUCGAGACACCCCUCCUCUUCUCCUCCUUUCCCGUCUUGGAGUUCUUAUUCCUCUUGACGUUCUUGAUUUUUCCUCGCCGGUGACAUGGUCAAUCUGAGAUUUCACCAACUAAAUUGAGAAGCAACAAUCGCGACAUGGAAGCAGCAGUAGCUGCCGUUGGUGCGUGUGUGUGGGAUAGAUAAAUAGACAGAUGAAAAUGCAGGCUGCUGGGGCAAUCGUCCCUUGCAGUCCAGUGAACCGGACCGACGACCUCCUGCACCGCAUGCAAGCAACUGCCGUUUGUGCCCAUCGGCUUCUUGUAGGUUACUUAUAAUCGUAGUCUCAGAUGGUAACAUAUUUACUUUACCCCAUUAAAAUUACCCUGUACAGGGAUUUUAUCUUCUGUUCUAGUCACAGAUCAUAGUUUCUUUUUCUGUAUUGCUUCUUUACACAGAUUAGUUCAUAGAAUCUGAUUGUACAGGGACUUUGAACUAGACUGCAGUGCAUAGAAUCUGAUUGUUUUCUUAAAUAAUACAUUCUACUUGCUUUCGUUUAGUUCUUAUCAUAUUAUAAUUUCAAAUCACAGAUUUUUCUAGCUCAUAAAACAAAUUCUUUCAACGGAGAAGUGAUGAUGCUUUAUCCAGACCACAUGUCUGCAUCUCAGAUUAUACAGCUUUCACUUUCAAAAAGUCUUAUUUUGUUUCUUUUCUAGCACGGAGCUGCAACUGUUAACUGAAUUUCUAUGGUUUUGCCGUUUGUGAAAUUUUGAUUCUUGCAGUGUGCAAUCUGUGAUGUAAAUUGACCCAUUUGCUGAAAUCUAGUGAUUAUUCCAGAAACAAUCACCAUCUAAGAUUCAUGGUUCUGUACUUCUGUUCUUGAUACAAGCGCUAGUUCAAUCUGCUAAUUACCAAGAAGUGUGGUUCCCUAAUAUUACUCAUGUCAAUUUUUUCUACUGCAUCUUAUAGUUCAAUAGUGUUGCUAUUUCAUUUUGGCAGCUUGUUAGCUUAGCAACAUUGCCCAAAGUACCUGAGAAUGAUAGCUUUGAUAUCUAUCAGCUUUAAUUCGAGGGGAAUCGCGAAGGGAAAUGAGAGAGAAUCCCAUUCUGAAGGGAGUAAUCUUUGGAAUCCUUUCGUGAUGGGAACCGUAAACGGAAACCGUUGGAGCGCUGAAAGGAACGAAAAUCCAUAACGAGAUUUUCACCCGCAACGGGAAUCCCUUGGCAUAGUCUAAGACUUAUGAAAAAGUAUUGGAUAUAUUUGCAUGAUUCUCACAAGGUUGCUUGCUUCUCAAUUAGUUAUGAGUAUUUACUUAUGGUCCUCUUGAUUAUCUGUUUUCUGAUUGUAGGGUCUCUUACAUAAGCAUCUGCUAAGAAGUAUUCAUUGUUUUGGAUCAGUGUGCUCGAAAAAUGUAAUCAAUGGUUAGGACUUCUUUCGGGAAGUAUCAAGUCUGUUUUAGCUCCUUUAUUUUUCGGCUGUAUUGCUUGUAGAGAUGAUAAAAUGGAAGCACUGUUGUACUUCGAGCACUUGAAAUCUCCGAAAUGUUGAAAUAAAGUUGUAAAAAGGUUGAUAUGGAGAA